rnacentral:rRNA from 1 species
UACAGAGGUCUCAAGCGUUGUUCGGAAUCAUUGGGCGUAAAGCGCGUGUAGGCGGUUACGUAAGUCUGCUGUGAAAGUCGGAGGCUCAACCUUCGAAAGCCGGUGGAUACUGCGUGACUAGAGUACGGAAGAGGAGAGUGGAAUUCCUGGUGUAGCGGUGAAAUGCGCAGAUAUCAGGAGGAACACCAACGGCGAAGGCAGCUCUCUGGGACGUUACUGACGCUGAGACGCGAAAGCGUGGGGAGCAAACAGG